GGUUGAUCCUGCCAGUGAUCAUAUUCUUCGAUCAAAGAUUAAGCCAUGCACGUGUAAGAGUAAAUAGUUACCUGUGAAUCUGCGUAUGGCUCAUUACAAGAAUUAUUACUUCCCCCAGCAAAGUUUACAAUUGGAUAACCGUUGUAAUUCAAGGGCUAAUCAUGCAUAAUGAUGGUUUCUUUAUUGAGAUCAUUGCAUUUGUUAGUCAAUAAACCAACAUCUUUUAGAUGAAUCAUGACAAAUUGCGGAUCCUCAUGUUGCAAAA
rnacentral:rRNA from 1 species